rnacentral:rRNA from 1 species
UACGGAGGAUGCAAGCGUUAUCCGGAAUGAUUGGGCGUAAAGGGUCCGCAGGCGGCAAUGUAAGUCUGCUGUCAAAGAAUGAGGCUCAACCUCAUCAAGGCAGUGGAAACUACGUAGCUAGAGUACGGUCGGGGUAGAAGGAAUUCCUGGUGUAGCGGUGAAAUGCGUAGAGAUCAGGAAGAACACCGGUGGCGAAAGCGUUCUGCUAGGCCUGUACUGACACGGAGGGACGAAAGCUAGGGGAGCGAAUGGG